UACGUAGGGGGCAAGCGUUGUUCGGAAUUACUGGGCGUAAAGGGCUCGUAGGCGGCCAACUAAGUCAGACGUGAAAUCCCUCGGCUUAACCGGGGAACUGCGUCUGAUACUGGAUGGCUAGAGUUUGGGAGAGGGAUGCGGAAUUCCAGGUGUAGCGGUGAAAUGCGUAGAUAUCUGGAGGAACACCGGUGGCGAAGGCGGCAUCCUGGACCAACACUGACGCUGAGGAGCGAAAGCCAGGGGAGCAAACGGG
rnacentral:rRNA from 1 species